GUGUAGUGUAACUCUAUGAAAGACGUCCUCAUUACAAUUAAUGCUUGGUUGUACAAGAGACCAAUAAGGACCAUACCGAAGAAAACAAAGAGACAAGCAAGUAUUAUUGUAGCAUUUUGAUGUGUUGGAGUAUUUUUCUUUUGAAGGAAGCUAUUUGAUCUUUUGCAAGUGUGGGCUUUGGUGGUCGUGUUGACGAAGCUCGGUUUUCAUCGUUAGAAUCCAUUGCAACUUGUCGUGCACCGUUUCAUUAAAAGAGUAGUCCUUAAUAAGCAACUAUAAUGUUCAAUCUCACUAUCAAUAUCUCAACGAGCAGUUAUUCGUAUUCUAGCUAUACACCAUGACUAACGUGUAAUAACAAGCAGUUGUUAGGAUUCUAGCUAUACACCAUGACUUACAUGUAAUAUAGGAUUGUCUAUGUAAAAAUAUAUAUACUCUGUUGA